ensembl:lincRNA
GCCCAUUACUUUGAACCCAGGGUUCUAAGAAAAUUUCUCACUGGGCUCCGUACUUUCUUCCUGCAAUAUCAUUUUCCCUAUUGAGCAGAUGCACAAAUCAAAGCACAGAAAAAGAAAUGUCAUGGAGGACACACAUUCCCCGGUCACAGUCAGAGCCAGAAAUAAGACAGAGGCAUUUGUAUCUCGCCCUUUGGCCAAUGGCUCACACUGCCUUGCUCAGUAGUGAUUGUCAUUAGCUAUGAAGCACAGAAAGUGUAGUUCCUGGUUGUCUGUGAACAAUGAAGCAUUUCAGAUCAACGUGGGAGGAGGAAUAACAUGGGAUUGAUAGCAAAUCGGCAUUCAUUCAUUCAUUGGCUCUCGAAUAUUUGAAAAAAGAAUGGUUAUGCCGAAGACCCAGCCUACACACCUGGACAAUAGGUUGGGAGCAGUGAUGACCCAGUUCAAGAUGAAAUUGAAUCAAUCCCACUUCGCUGUCCCAGAUAUUGUUGGAGUUUCGUUUUCCCCUCACCCUGAGUUGGGAAAGUUGCGUGAAUGAUUUGUGCCUGAGCGCUCUUAUCUAGAGUGGAACGUAAAGUUGUGACCAUUUUCACUGGGAAAAUAGGUGAUUUGUCUGGAGGAGAGUAUCCCAAGUUCCAGACUCGAAUGUUAUGUGCCCUUUUAUGUUACCUUCUUCACCAUGGGGGAACCCCCAGGAAUAAAAAGUCUCCCAUUCCUCUCCUUCAAAACACCUCCUGAAACCUCACUCUUUU